UACAUAUAAUAUAAGGUUACUACAUGUCUAAAUCUAGAAAAUUAUGCAAGAAUAUAUGCAAUCCAUAUAGUCUAUAUUAUAGAAAUAAAAGUUCAACUAAUCCUUUACUAGUAGUAAAGGGUUAGUUGAACAAUUAUUUCUAUAAUAUAGACUAAAUGGAUUAUUUAUAGUCUUGUUUAACUUUAUAUUUUAGACAUAUGACAUCUAGUAACAUACCAUAUUAGUUUAAAUCAGUUGUAAAAUUAAAAAUGUUAACAUCUUUGAUAGGUAUAUUUAUUUAGGUUAGUUACAGCUAAGUUUACAUGGCUAGUUAAUAUGCUUUUAUAAAUUGCAAUUUUUAUUAAUUUCCAAAUUAAACAUGUGGCAUCCAAUAUCAUAAACUAAGAUUAUACUGGUGUGUUUAUGUUAUUUUAGAAUUUUUUGUUUUAGACACAUGGCAUUUGUUAUCCCGCUAAUUUACUGUUUUAGACACGUGGCAUGUGGUAUCCCACUACACUUGGUAUAAGCUGUCAUACUACACGUGGCAUGUGAUAUCCCACUAAUUAGCUAUUUUAAACAUGUGACAAGUGGUAUGACACUGUAUUGAUGUAUGUGAAAUGUAUAGAGUCUUUCAGUUAUCAGAUAAUGCCAAGGAGUUGAGAGCAUGGUGUCCAAUUAAAGUGCGAACCUGUGUACGAGUAACAACAAUAUUUAAAACCAAAACCUAUUUAAACCAACCAAACCAAAACUAGUAACUAAAAACUAUCUUAGCAUUGGUUUAUUUUAAACAUCUAAUAUAUAUAUAUAUGUGUGUUUUUUUAUAUAAAUGUACUAGCUUGAGUAUAGUGUGUUAAAAAAAUG